rnacentral:tRNA from 1 species
GGCGUGUUCGUCUAGCGGCCCAGGACGCCGCCCUCUCAAGGCGGAGAUCACGGGUUCGAAUCCCGUACACGCUA